rnacentral:rRNA from 1 species
ACGGCUCAGUAACACGUGGAUAAUCUGCCCUAAGGUCAGGCAUAACACCGGGAAACUGGUGAUAAUUCCUGAUAUACCAUAGAUACUGGAAUGUUCUGUGGUCAAAAGCUCCGGCGCCUUAGGAUGAAUCUGCGGCCUAUCAGGUCGUAGUGGGUGUAACGUACCUACUAGCCGACGACGGGUACGGGUUGUGAGAGCAAGAGCCCGGAGAUGGAUUCUGAGACAUGAAUCCAGGCCCUACGGGGCGCAGCAGGCGCGAAAACUUUACAAUGCGGGAAACCGCGAUAAGGGGACACUGAGUGCCAGCAUACAAUGUUGGCUGUCCGCAUGUAUAAAUAGCAUGUGUUAGCAAGGGCCGGGCAAGACCGGUGCCAGCCGCCGCGGUAACACCGGCGGCCCGAGUGGUGGCCACUAUUAUUGGGUCUAAAGGGUCCGUAGCCGGUUUGAUCAGUCUUCCGGGAAAUCUGACAGCUCAACUGCUAGGCUUCCGGGGGAUACUGUCAGACUUGGGACCGGGAGAGGUAAGAGGUACUACAGGGGUAGGAGUGAAAUCUUGUAAUCCUUGUGGGACCACCAGUGGCGAAGGCGUCUUACCAGAACGGGUCCGACGGUGAGGGACGAAAGCUGGGGGCACGAACCGGAUUAGAUACCCGGGUAGUCCCAGCCGUAAACGAUGCUCGCUAGGUGUCUGGGAUGGUGCGACCGUUUCAGGUGCCGCAGGGAAGCCGUGAAGCGAGCCACCUGGGAAGUACGGCCGCAAGGCUGAAACUUAAAGGAAUUGGCGGGGGAG